UACGUAGGGAGCGAACGUUGUCCGGAAUUACUGGGUGUAAAGGGAGCGUAGGCGGGAUUGCAAGUUGGAUGUGAAAACUGCGGGCUCAACCCGGAGCGUGCAUUCAAAACUGCGAUUCUUGAGUGAGGUAGAGGCAAGCGGAAUUCCUAGUGUAGCGGUGAAAUGCGUAGAUAUUAGGAGGAACACCAGUGGCGAAGGCGGCUUGCUGGGCUUUUACUGACGCUGAGGCUCGAAAGUGUGGGGAGCAAACAGG
rnacentral:rRNA from 1 species